rnacentral:rRNA from 1 species
GUGGGGAAUAUUGGACAAUGGGGGCAACCCUGAUCCAGCCAUGCCGCGUGAGUGAAGAAGGCCUUCGGGUUGUAAAGCUCUUUCGACGGGGACGAUGAUGACGGUACCCGUAUAAGAAGCCCCGGCUAACUUCGUGCCAGCAGCCGCGGUAAUACGAAGGGGGCUAGCGUUGUUCGGAAUUACUGGGCGUAAAGCGCACGUAGGCGGACAUUUAAGUCAGGGGUGAAAUCCCAGAGCUCAACUCUGGAACUGCCUUUGAUACUGGGUGUCUUGAGUAUGGAAGAGGUAAGUGGAAUUCCGAGUGUAGAGGUGAAAUUCGUAGAUAUUCGGAGGAACACCAGUGGCGAAGGCGGCUUACUGGUCCAUUACUGACGCUGAGGUGCGAAAGCGUGGGGAGCAAACAGGAUUAGAAACCCCAGUAGUCC